UACGAAGGGGGCGAGCGUUGUUCGGAUUUACUGGGCGUAAAGGGCGCGCAGGCGGCUCAUUUUGUCAGGCGUGAAAGCCCCGGGCUUAACCUGGGAAUGGCGUCUGAAACUACGGAGCUGGAGUGUGGCAGAGGGAGGUAGAAUUCCACGUGUAGCGGUGAAAUGCGUAGAUAUGUGGAGGAAUACCGAUGGCGAAGGCAGCCUCCUGGGCCAACACUGACGCUCAUGCACGAAAGCGUGGGGAGCAAACAGG
rnacentral:rRNA from 1 species